UGUUUGCACUUAGCGGGAAGGGUAAGAACCUUCGACUAAGGUUCGACUCGAGCGCCAGCGAGAGAACGUUGCCAC
rnacentral:sRNA from 1 species